rnacentral:tRNA from 1 species
GUUUUUAUAGUUAAAUUAUAACAGUGGUUUUUCAAGCUACAGAUCCUGGUUAAAGCCCUGGUAAAAAUU